AUACGGAGGGCGCAAGCGUUGCCCGGAAUCACUGGGUGUAAAGGGUGCGUAGGCGGGGCUGUAAGUCAGAGGUGAAAGCCCUCGGCUCAACCAGGGAAUUGCCUCUGAUACUGCAGCUCUUGAGUCCCGGAGAGGCCGCUGGAAUUCCUGGUGUAGCGGUGAAAUGCGUAGAUAUCAGGAGGAACACCGGAGGCGAAGGCGGGCCGCUGGACGGGGACUGACGCUGAGGCACGAAAGCGUGGGGAGCAAACAGGAUUAGAAACCCGAGUAGUCC
rnacentral:rRNA from 1 species